rnacentral:rRNA from 1 species
UACGUAGGGUGCGAGCGUUGUCCGGAAUUAUUGGGCGUAAAGAGCUUGUAGGCGGUUUGUCGCGUCUGCUGUGAAAAUCCGGGGCUCAACCCCGGACUUGCAGUGGGUACGGGCAGACUAGAGUGUGGUAGGGGAGACUGGAAUUCCUGGUGUAGCGGUGAAAUGCGCAGAUAUCAGGAGGAACACCGAUGGCGAAGGCAGGUCUCUGGGCCACUACUGACGCUGAGAAGCGAAAGCUAGGGUAGCAAACGGG